ACGCGGCGGGGCCGGGCCCAGCUGGCGAGAGGGCGCCGCGGGAGCCCCGGGAGGGGCCGGGAGCCGCCUGCCGCGUCCGCGGGUGCCUUCCCGUCGCGGUCCUUUCUGUCGGCUGGAGCCCGGCCCGCGGGCAGCGCUGCAGGGGCUCGGGGCCGCUCCGCGCGUUUGCUUCAGCCCGAGUGGCAGGGCCAACACACUGAAGUGGUGCUGAUGAGUCUCGCCCGGAGGCUGCUCGCCCAGGUGCACGGUGCUCUGAAGCCUGCUUCAAAGAAACUGAACUUCUGCUGGGAAAUGGCUCGGCCGAGUUCGAGCAUGGCUGAUUUCCGAGAAGUGUUCGCCAAAGCAAAGCAUAUCACCAUCAUUACCGGAGCCGGUGUGAGCGCCGAGAGUGGUGUUCCUACCUUCAGAGGGGCCGGAGGUUUCUGGAGGAAGUGGCAAGCACAGGAGUUGGCCACUCCCGGGGCUUUUGCACGCAACCCUUCUCGCGUCUGGGAGUUCUAUCAUUACCGCCGCGAGCUCAUGCUGACUAAACAUCCCAACGCUGCACAUCUCGCCAUUGCCGAGUGUGAAAAGCGACUGAGGAAACAAGGCAGGAGCGUGGUGGUCAUCACCCAGAAUAUCGAUGAACUGCACAGGAAGGCGGGCACAAAGCACCUCCUGGAAAUACACGGAAGCUUAUUUAAAACUCGAUGCACCAACUGUGGAAAUGUGACUGCAAAUUACAAGAGUCCGAUAUGCCCAGCGUUGGCUGGGAAAGGGGCUCCAGAUCCAGAAAUAGAAGAUGCCUCAAUUCCAGUUGAAGAACUUCCUCAGUGCGAGGAAGAUGGCUGCCACGGCCUUCUUCGUCCCCACGUCGUGUGGUUCGGCGAAACCCUGGAUCCAGACGUUCUCACAGAAGUGGAGAAGGAACUCGAACUAUGCGACCUCUGCUUGGUGGUGAGGACGUUUGUGUUGCCUUGUGACACGGCGGUCAGCAGCGUCAGGGGCUGCUUCUGUGGGGUUAUUUCCAGGCCGUGCACGUUCUGCAUGUACGUUCUACAAUUGCUCGGAAUAUUUUGCACCCUUCACAAAAAGUUCUCAAGCAGUAGAGGGGAUGUUUUGUCUUGUUUUCCUGACAUUUUGUGGUUUAUAACUGUCAAUGAAAAAAAAAACCAAACCCCAGAAACGCAAACAAACAGGUUGCUUUGGAUUGCAGCAGAGAUAUGAAUUCUGAGGUGUGUGCCACCAGAAACAGCUCGAUCCACAGCGACGCAAAACAUAGAUCUCGAUACGUCCUCCCUUCUGUCAGGUCUUCCCCUGCUUUACCGUUUGCCGAUGCCUUUGCAGGUGGGCACCUCCUCCGUGGUGUACCCCGCCGCCAUGUUUGCCCCCCAGGUGUCCGCACGAGGAGUGCCGGUGGCGGAAUUCAACAUGGAAGCCACUCCCGCUACGGACAGGUUCAGGUUCCACUUCCAGGGCCCCUGCGGGACGACGCU